rnacentral:tRNA from 1 species
GGGCUCGUAGCUCAGUCUGGGAGAGCGCCUGGCUCUUAACCAGGCGGUCGCGGGUUCAAAUCCCGUCGGGCCCG